rnacentral:rRNA from 1 species
AUUGAACGCUAGCGGGAUGCUUUACACAUGCAAGUCGAACGGCAGCGCGGACUUCGGUCUGGCGGCGAGUGGCGAACGGGUGAGUAAUGUAUCGGAACGUGCCCAGUAGCGGGGGAUAACUACGCGAAAGCGUAGCUAAUACCGCAUACGCCCUACGGGGGAAAGCAGGGGAUCGUAAGACCUUGCACUAUUGGAGCGGCCGAUAUCGGAUUAGCUAGUUGGUGAGGUAACGGCUCACCAAGGCGACGAUCCGUAGCUGGUUUGAGAGGACGACCAGCCACACUGGGACUGAGACACGGCCCAGACUCCUACGGGAGGCAGCAGUGGGGAAUUUUGGACAAUGGGGGCAACCCUAAUCCAGCCAUCCCGCGUGUGCGAUGAAGGCCUUCGGGUUGUAAAGCACUUUUGGCAGGAAAGAAACGUCGCGGGCUAAUACCCCGUGGAACUGACGGUACCUGCAGAAUAAGCACCGGCUAACUACGUG